rnacentral:rRNA from 1 species
AGGAUGAACGCUGGCGGCGUGCUUAACACAUGCAAGUCGAACGGUGAAGCAGGAGCUUGCUCUUGCGGAUCAGUGGCGAACGGGUGAGUAACACGUGAGUAACCUGCCCUUGACUCUGGGAUAAGCGUUGGAAACGACGUCUAAUACCGGAUACGACCUCCGAAGGCAUCUUCUGGAGGUGGAAAGAACUUCGGUCAAGGAUGGACUCGCGGCCUAUCAGCUAGUUGGUGAGGUAAUGGCCCACCAAGGCGACGACGGGUAGCCGGCCUGAGAGGGUGACCGGCCACACUGGGACUGAGACACGGCCCAGACUCCUACGGGAGGCAGCAGUGGGGAAUAUUGCACAAUGGGCGCAAGCCUGAUGCAGCAACGCCGCGUGAGGGACGACGGCCUUCGGGUUGUAACCUCUUUAGUAGGGAAGAAGCGAAGUGACGGUACCUGCAGAAAAGACACGGCUAACUACGUGCCAGCAGCCGCGGU